GGCCGCGGUCCUCUGCCCGUGCAAAGGUAGCAUAAUCAUUUGCCUUAUAAUUGAAGGCUAGUAUGAAUGGUUUGACAAGAAUGUAGCUGUCUCUUUAUGAUUAAAUAAAAUUUUAUUUUCAGGUGAAGAAGCCUGUAUUGAAUUAAAAGACAAGAAGACCCUAUCGAGCUUGAAAAAAGUUAUCAGGUAGACAGUUAAUAUAUAUAUAAAAAACUAGCUGUUAAAAAUUUUAGUUGGGGUGACUGAGGAACAAAUAAAGCUUCCUUUAAAAACUUAAAACAUACAAGUUUUGAUCCAGAACAUUCUGAUUAAAGAAAUUAGUUACCGUAGGGAUAACAGCAUUAUCUUUUUUGAGAGCCCCUAUCGAAAAAAAGGUUUGUGACCUCGAUGUUGGACCAGAAU
rnacentral:rRNA from 1 species